UACGAAGGGGGCUAGCGUUGUUCGGAAUCACUGGGCGUAAAGCGCACGUAGGCGGAUCUUUAAGUCAGGGGUGAAAUCCCGGGGCUCAACCUCGGAACUGCCUUUGAUACUGGGGAUCUCGAGUCCGGGAGAGGUGAGUGGAACUGCGAGUGUAGAGGUGAAAUUCGUAGAUAUUCGCAAGAACACCAGUGGCGAAGGCGGCUCACUGGCCCGGAACUGACGCUGAGGUGCGAAAGCGUGGGGAGCAAACAGGA
rnacentral:rRNA from 1 species